GUUUUUAUUUUGUCAAUACUUGCAUGCACACAGUUAUUUUUUUUGUUAAAUAACGCGCUUUGGUUCUUUAGUGUUGAAUUAAAAAGACUACUAAUCUAAAAAGCCUUUCUAAAAAGUGAUUAAUAAGAAUUGAGUGGUACAGUCACAAAUCCAACGUUGUAUUUAAUGCAGUGUGUGUUGUUGGCGGUCAUCAAAAGGGUAAAGUAAGGGGUUGAAAUUAGCUUUAUUAAUCGGUUUAAGCGAUCGCUUAGUAAAGCUGAAAACAGCUGUAGCGUACCUGCGUUUUAAGCAAUCAAAGACUAUUAAAAAUAAUUAUGGACAAUUUUGAUUUUUUAAAAUGCAGAUGUGUUAUAAUCGGGUGGUCUCUGUCAUACGGUCAAUAGCACGAAUUAGAGCGGGAAAAAACUAAAUAGAAAAGGACAAAAAUAAAGCCAAGGCAACUUAGGAACAGAAUAGGGAAAGUGAACGUUUUAAACACCAAUCUAGGACAGUUUUUAUUAUUAUAUUAAGAAAAAGAAUUAGGCUUGUAUAAUGUUACAAUAAAAAAAAAAACAUUUUUUAAUAUAAGUGCAACGUUUUACGAGCCUGCUGGAAUUUAAAAAAUUAUAUAUUGUAACGUCAUACGAGCCUUAAUA